UGGGGAAUAUUGGACAAUGGGCCACAAGCCUGAUCCAGCAAUUCUGUGUGCACGAUGAAGGUCUUCGGAUUGUAAAGUGCUUUCAGUUGGGAAGAAGAAAGUGACGGUACCAACAGAAGAAGCGACGGCUAAAUACGUGCCAGCAGCCGCGGUAAUACGUAUGUCGCAAGCGUUAUCCGGAUUUAUUGGGCGUAAAGCGCGUCUAGGCGGAAAAAUAAGUCUGAUGUUAAAAUGCGGGGCUCAACUCCGUAUUGCGUUGGAAACUGUUUUUCUAGAGUACUGGAGAGGUGGGCGGAACUACAAGUGUAGAGGUGAAAUUCGUAGAUAUUUGUAGGAAUGCCGAUGNAGAAGUCAGCUCACUGGACAGAUACUGACGCUAAAGCGNGAAAGCGUGGGGAGCAAACANNNUUAGAUACCCGAGUAGUC
rnacentral:rRNA from 1 species